rnacentral:rRNA from 1 species
GUCCACGCCCUAAACGAUGUCAACUAGGUGUCGGGAGCGCAAGUUCUUGGUACCGCAGCUAACGCGUGAAGUUGACCGCCUGGGGAGUACGGUCGCAAGAUUAAAACUCAAAGGAAUUGACGGGGACCCGCACAAGCGGUGGAUGAUGUGGAUUAAUUCGAUGCAACGCGAACAACCUUACCUACCCUUGACAUGUCCGGAAGCCCGGUGAAAGCUGGGGGUGCUCGCAAGAGAACCGGAACACAGGUGCUGCAUGGCUGUCGU